AUGAAAGAUUUCAAAGGCAAUAGCCAUUGCUCCAAAAUAGCUUGGUUAAUGUUUGCAGACUGGUUCAGCUCUUUUCUCCCUCCUGCCUGUCAAAAAGGUGCUAUUCCUGUGAUUAAAACCAUUACAGUCCUUCAAAGGUUAUACAUGACUUUCAGGCUUCAGCCUCAAUAGCAGCAGAUCUGGCCUAGAUGCUGUGAUUGGAAAAGCCGUGCUGUAUAAUUUCACAAUAAUUACUUAUUGUAUUCCACUGCCUUGGCUGAGAGACAAAGGAAGAAAGAGAAGACCGUUGCUGAGGGACAUCUUGAGACUACCUGUGGCCAAAGUGAUGGAUGAGGCCCAUCCUUGGCCAAAGGGAAGCCAUUUAGCAGAAUCUGGGAAUCACGUCCCUGUACACCAUGGUUCCUGAUGCUUGGUUUCCCUCUUCUUUCAUUCCUAUUAACCUAGAUGUCUCAACUUUACCUUUCAGAUAAUUGGCUGAAUAUGUUGUCCUCGUAUCAAUGAUCUAUAUAAAACCAGCAAGCCAUGAGAUGAACAGCACACAGCAAACAACACAGCAAAGUGAUCUCUAUUUAGCACCGCGCCCUCAAAAUGUCAUCUCUGUAAGACAUAUGAGCUAAUCCACUUGUACUAUGUUUCUUAUCUUCCAUCGGUAAAUAUACCGGGUCACCAUUUAGCUGUGAUAAUACGUAGUUUCUGAAUGCUAUAACCUAAAGGAAGUUAAGUUGAUGCCAUCAAAACAUUUACUGUGGUGGUGUCAGGGUGUGAUAAACUCACCUAUCAAAUGCAGAAACGCUUGACACAAUUUCAAAACCACGAGUCUAGUCAACUGAUUUAAAAAUGAUUGAUUACGUAAAAUUAAUCAAACCAGUGAUUUUAUGGAAUUUAAGCAGACAGCACAGCUAAUGAAAUUUAUAGGUUAUUCCCCUAUAAACAUUAAUGUAGCAAAUCGUGUGCCCCUUCGUUUCUUCAAGAUCCAAAGUUUCCUUAACUAAGUGGAGGCUGCAGAAACUGGCUUUUUAUACAAUUAAUGUUCCACAACCAGAUGAGACUUUCUAACUGAAAAGGUUGGAACAUUUUCUAUCUUCUUCCAGCCAUAACUAUCACUGAAAUCUAUUGCAUUCAUGAUAUACUGUGGAUCAGAACAACAUACAAAGUUCCACACUCUCAGAGCCUGAUACAGAGGAAACAGAAAGCUGUGAUUUACUCAGAGAAGUCCUAGGGAAACAAUUUCUCCUAAGGAAAUAUAUUUUUAAAACCUUCCAUUAUAACUCAUCCAAAAAGAAGCUAUUGAGCAUUGAACACUUUAUAAAGUACUAAUAUCUUUACCUAUAUUAUUUUACAUAAAUCUUUCAAGGCAGAUAAUAUCACCAUUUUCCAAACAAGGAGACUGAGGUUUAUAGAAAUUAAAUUAUUUUCUCAAGUGGUAGAGCCAAGAUUUGAAUCCAGGUCUAAAUCCUGCAUUUGUAUUGUAAUGGUUGUAAAAUUUGUGCCGGCAGAGCCACGUAAUUACUUAAUCUGGGCCGUGGUUUCCUCGCCUGUAAAGUGGACCUAACACUGGCACCUAACAGGGUUUCUGAACCUCAGCACGAUUGACUGUGGGUUAGAUGACGCUUUGCUGGAGGGGCUGUCCUAUGCCCUGAAGGAUAGGUGGCAGCAUCCCUGGGCUCUCCGCUCGCUAGAUGCCACUAGCUCAGCCCGCACAAUUGUGACAACCCAACCGAAAAUGGCUCCAGACAUUGCCUAAUGUCCCCUGGAGAGUAAAAUCACUGGUUGAGAACCACCGACCUAAAUUAAAGGAUAGCUGUGAAGAGCCCAUCAGUGAAUACAUACAAAGAGUCUCAGAGUAUGUCUGGCCCAGAAUAUUUAAUGUUAGAUAGGCUGGUGGUGAAGGAGAAGGAGGAGGGAAGGAGGGGGAAGAGAAGAAGUAGUAGCCGUAGUAGGGAGAGCAGGAGGGGGAGAGGAAGGAGGAGAAAAGGAAGAAGAAGAAAUAUACUUGCAUCUGACUAAAUUGUAUUGACGUUUUAUUCAGGCCUGACUGGGUGGAUAUAAUUGAAAAACUCAGAGUUGAUCAGAAAGAAAAUAAAAUUUAAAAAGACAGGUAAGCUUCUAUCUUUUAGGAUUAUUUCAGGAAAAUUUCCAUAAUCCUUUUUCUUUUUUUAUGAAGUAAAAAUGUUUUACAUAUAAGGUUACAUAUUAAACAGCCAAAUAAAUAUUUGCUUAGUGUAAUGUUUCUACACAUCAGCCUAGACCAAAUACCAUAUUGAAGUCUAUGUCCAGAUUUGAAUAGAUGGAACAUCCAUCACUUAAAAGAGUAUUAUAAAUACUAUUUUUUCCUUAGGAUAAUUAACCUUGAAAUGAUUUUAUCCUUGAGAACAUUCGUCAUGGAUUAAUACAUUUACUAAUGAAUGUUACAGCUGUGAUUAGCGUGUUGAGAUUAUAAAUGAAAUUAAACUACAAAAUAUGUCUUACCUAAAGUCUUAACAGGAUCAGAGUAAUCAGAGUCAGUAAAUUGUCCCAUGACAUUUGUGGCUCUAAAUUUAAAUCUAUGAAAUAAAAAACAACAACAAUUUACAUACCAUAUGACUUUUUUUUUCUAUGAAUAAUUUAACAAAUGGCUGUGAAAAAGACAUUUUUGUUAAAGAGAAAAUUAACUUACAAAGUGUAUACUUGGAAAUCAAUCACCAUCAGGACAAAUAAAUAAUAUCUUUACGUGAAAUUAUCUUGUACAUGGACCUCUUGAACUUCAUGACAGAGUGACCAAAAAUUUGACCAGACUUAUGAAUAGUCAGCACGUUAAUCAAAUGAAGUAGAUCACCUCCUUCAUAGAUUUAUUUGGAUGAAACCACUGAAUGUCUGCACAAGCACACUUUAUAAAUAUAAAGCAUAAUAACUGUUAUACCUCAGCCACCUUUGAAAAUGCCAAUAAGCCAGAUUUAGAAUAGUCAUAUAAAACUUAUCCUGUUCAAAUAUAAACAAAUGAAGAACAAUGCUUCUUAAUUCUGAGUGUGCACAGCUGUAUUUUCACUUUCUGUGCUUUCAAGACAUAUGAAAUACAAAAUGGAUGCAGAAGAAAAUCAAUCUUAAAAAUCACUGGAUGAUUCUGUCACCACAGAGACAACCGAAAUUUACCUUAUUUUAAAACUAUGGGACUUCCCUGGUGGCACAGUGGUUAAGAAUCCACCUGCCAAUGUAGGGGACAUGGGUUCAAGCCCCAGUCCAGGAAGAUCCCACAGGCCUUGGACCAACUAAGCCCGUGCACCACAACUACUGAGCCUGUGCUUUAGAGAUCACGAGCCACAACUACUGAGGCUGCAUGCCACAACUACUGAAGUCCGUGCUCCUAGAGUCCAUGCUCUGCAACAAGAGAAGCCACCGUGGUGAGAAGCCCGUGCACCGCAACAAAGAGUAGCCCCCGCUCGCCACAACUAGAGAAAGCCCGCGGGCAGCAACGAAGACCCAACGCAACCAAAAAUAAAUAAACUUAUUUAAAAAAAGAAAUCUGUGCUCUUUAAAAAAACAAAACUAUGAACCUACAAGAAUUUUAAAA